AGAGUUUUUAUCAAUUAUGGUUCAGAAGUGAUUAAUAAGGAAAACGGUGCAAAGCCGUUGCUGUUGUCGCAUCUGUAACCAGCAUAAUCCCGGUAUCAUUCACUACCCAGUAGGUGGGAAGGAUGAUAUCAAAAGGGGCUGGGAGCCAGAAGACUUGCCAUGAUUGUCUGCUUAGA
rfam:Actinobacteria bacterium RBG_13_35_12 RBG_13_scaffold_15816, whole genome shotgun sequence.